UACGAAGGGAGCUAGCGUUGUUCGGAAUCACUGGGCGUAAAGCGCACGUAGGCGGAUUUGUCAGUCGGGGGUGAAAUCCCGAGGCUCAACCUCGGAACUGGCUCCGAUACAGCAAAUCUCGAGUCCGGGAGAGGUGGGUGGAAUUCCUAGUGUAGAGGUGAAAUUCGUAGAUAUUAGGAAGAACACCAGUGGCUACGGCGGCCCACUGGCCCGGUACUGACGCUGAGGUGCGAAAGCGUGGGGAGCAAACAGG
rnacentral:rRNA from 1 species